rnacentral:misc_RNA from 1 species
UCCGGCUUACACCGGCGGUCUCCUGCGAGUGCCCACCAUGACGUGCUGGUAACACAGGACGAGGGUUGCGCUCGUUGGCGGACUUAACCGUACACCUCACGGCACGAGCUGACGACAGCCAUGCAACAUCUGUCUUUGAGUCCCCUUGUGGGGGAGGGACCUAUCUCUAGGCCUUACUCGCGAUGUCAAACCUGGGUAAGGUUCUUCGGUUAGUAUCGAAUUAAUCCACAUGCUCCACCGCUUGUGCGGGUCCCCGUCAAUUCAUUUGAGUUUCAACCUUGCGGCCGUAGUCCCCAGGCGGGAUGCUUAGUGCGUUAGCUGCGGCACCGGGGGGGUCGAUACCCCCGACGCCUAGCAUCCAUCGUUUAGGGCGUGGACUAC